ACCCCUCCUACCUGUGCCCCAGUGACACCCUCAAGUAAACUUCAUGUGGCCUGCUAUUGGCUGGAAACCUCCUAUGCCCAAGAGUUGUCAUGGUAACACCACAAUAACAUAACACCUUCAUAAUAUAAAUGUGUUGCAAUAAAAAACAUCAUAUUGGCUACAACACUAUGAAUACGUUUAAUUGGAUACUACACCAAGCCGAUACUACACACGGACGAUGACAGAAGCUCUUCCUCUUCCAGUGUCUUUGUGUUGCCUCACCACUAAUGUUUAUUUAUUUAUAUAUGAAUCUCUUCUACAAAUUCUUCACAUGUACAUGUAUCACUUGUUCAGAUUUAUUCAUAGUCUUCUUUUUUAUUACAGUAUAUGCUAAAUGAGGUUUAAGUGGAUGAUUAUAUCUUAUGUUCUGAAGUCCUUAGACUGCCUCAAACAUUUCAUAGUCAAAAGAGGAGCUGCUUGACAAGCCCUUAUUUUUCCUUUUGUGUUUUCAUAGGGAUGGCAGACUCCACCUCAGGCCAGAAACCAGCAAGAAAUGGUGACAAAGAAGCUGCUGGUGCUGCUUCUGAAACAGUUGCCUGGGUUACCAAUGUUGGUGUGUUGGCUCUCCAGAUGGCGGCCGGAUUGAUGAUGCCACAUCUUGGAGGUGGACCCCCGGAGGUUCCUGUUUUCACAUUGAGGCAUAGCGGUCCUCACUGGAGGGGAAGCACAGGAUGCUUGGCCUGACUGUUGCCAAGGUGAUCCAGAGGAUCUCCUGGGAGGAGAGGAGGCUGCACUGUUGGAGGAGGACACAUGGGGCAGAGGAGACGCUCCUCCUCAUCCAGGAUCUCCACGUCACCCUGGACGUCUCUUUGCUGAAUUCUCUCUGCAUCCAGGACACAUGGAGACACAGAGGAGCCGCCUCACCUGCAUCCAGGACCCAGCAGGUGCAGCUGUACAGAGACAGGUAGACUGACAAAGGGGCGGGGUCGGCCUUCUGGUUUCCACCUUAACCACUUCAUCCCAGGUAUGUUGUGUAUUAUCAUUUCAUGCAAACAUAAAAUUCAUUUUUGAUCCAAAACCUUUUUCCUCAAGCCAGUGCCUUCCAAGCUCCUGGCAACACCUGCCAGACAGAGCAGGAGGUAGAGCGAGUUGCUUCCCUCCCAGAGACCAGGAGAGGCAGCCCAGGUGACAGUUCAAGGCAGCGACGGGGAAGAACACCUCCUGUCCUGGGAAGGAGAGUCUCCAGAGGUGAGAUUCACUUCAGAUAUCAUUGUUAGCCGCCUGGUGGAGGCCGUUUGCAACCAGCUCUGCGUCUUCAUCCGGUGGCCACGUGGUCCAGAGGGACCGUGAGGACUCGCUGGUCAUUCAUUCUCAAGGAUUAUGUGGCAUCAGAGAGGCAGUCCUGGCCGGCGUCAGGUUGAGGCUUAGACCAACAUCCAGCUCUUCGAAUAAAUUGAGGACUCAGUGGUGCUGGCCAGACUCUCCCUUCAGCAAAGGGUCUGUCCUUGGUCCAGGUGGGACAAGGACAGCCCUUUAACUUCAAUGUCCCGGAGGAGCAGCCUGGGCCCUCCAGCAGGGGUCUGCCUCCUCCUCCUCCUCCUCCUUCUCCUCCUCCUCCAGACGAUGAACAGCAUGGCCCCUCAUCCAGUGCUGUUGGUCUUCCCCUCGCUCCAGCAGCACUCCCCUCCUCUGUUCAUCCACCUUCUCUGACUGGACUACCUGUACCCAGGACCAGAGCCUACAGGAAGAGGAAGGCGACCUGAAGCUGCUGUGGCAGAGCGGGGGCCGCUGCCUGGAGGAAAAAACCCUCUGGCUGCCAACGUCAUACAUCUGCAGCAAGUGUGGCCAACCCAGAAGAGAACUGGAUGAAUCUUAUUUAGUAACAAGUAUAUAUUAUAGUAGAAAUAUAAAAAUAAUGACUGAGGUCAGUGUCAGGAUGAGUCUCUAUGACAUGAAUGAAACUGAAAGUAACGUCCUUUGUGCAGAUUGAAACGAGAGGAGUGAAGUUCAUCCAGACUCUUCAUAGAUGUGAUGCUGUGACCUCAGAGAUGGAUGUGUUCACCUCGCCUGUGAAUAUUCUCAUUUGUCCAGGUCAUAGUAUCCUAAAGGAGUUUUAAAUCGAAAAAACAACUGGACUUGGUUAUUUGUCUGGGAAGACGUUUCACCUCUCAUCCAAGAGGCUUCAUCAGUUCAUGUACGCAUCUGACCAGGCUGGGACUGGUCCUGCUGUUCACCUCACACACUGUUUAGUGUGAACUGAAAAUUGAGUUCAGAUUGUGAAGCAGUUGUCAGUGUAGUACAGCUCAUGUAGCUCAUGUAGCUCAUGUGUUUGCGGACCGAAGAUCUAGUUUAUUGAACAAGGUUCCCUGAGCUGAUGGAAUCUGGUGGCCACAGCAAACGAAUUGGUCAUUGGGAAGUUUGUACUGUUUUCUUUUAUGGUAUAUGGUGCACAAACACACAGCCUAGUAAAGUCCAGGCAGGAAGACAAGAGCAAGAAGCGCCUGAGUUCAGCUUCAACCCUGGUUCUUUCUUGCAGUGUUGCAUGUUCUCCUUGUGUUUCCUCCAGGACUCUGAUUACUAGAACAAAGACAUGACAUUUCAUUAAUUGAGGACUCUAACUUGUCUGUGUGUGGUGGUGGUGGUGGAAACCAUUUUCCUGCUUUCCUCCCAGUGCAUGCUGGGAUACAUUCCAGUACUUUUUUGUUUGAAGUUUGAAUGUUUGAUAUGAUGAAAAAAAGUUUGCUACAUUUGCAUCCAGAAUCACAAAGUUUGAAUGUAGAAGUCACAUAAAUGUAAAACUAAAAAGAUUUUCCCUAAAAUUAAAGAGGAAAAAAUUUAAAUCGUUAGUAUGGACAUUAACUGUUAUAAAAACAAGCUACAUUUUUAAUUACAGAUAAUUACUGUAAUUUUACACAGAUUUGUAUGUAAUUUAAGAAAGCAGAAAAAAUACUGUAUGAAUAAUACAGUAAUUUGUCUUUACAGAAAUGGGAAAUAAAUGUAAUUCAUGAUUAUUGGCAUAAUGUUAAUGUCUUAAAAUAGAAGUUUGGCUGUUAAUUCACAGAUAAUUUCAUUUUACAGACUUUUGUUAACAAUUUUAAAGAACAUGAAAUUACUGUUAGAAAACGUAGUUAUUUUCUGUAAAAUUAGGAUUUUUUUUUUGCCUUUUCAUACUUUAACGUUUUUUAACGUUUUUAUAUCUCACUAAACCAUGAUGUUUCUUGACAAUUUCAUGCCUUAUUAUACUGUAACAUUCUUAAUAAGAUUUUGGUGCCAUACUAUAUUAUGACGUUAAUAUUGUAUGACAUCUUGUAACGUUUUUAUGCCUUACUAUAGUAUGACAAAAAUUUCAUGACUUAUUAUACUAUGACAUUUUAUGCCUUACUAUACUAUCACGUUGUAUGCCUUACUAUACUAAGAUAUUAUUAUGCCUUAUUAUACUAUGACAUUUGUUGGUUUUUUUUGCCUUAGUAUAGUUUGAUAUUUUUAUGAUAUUUGAACAGCUAACUAUUUUAUGACACUUUUUUUUAUUAUUUAUGUUUAUAUUAUUCUAUUGUUAUAUUAAGUAAUAAUACUUUCUCUGUAGAUUAAUUUAAUUAUUGUAGACUGUUUUAUCUCAUUUUCUUUACUGAACCUCAUUGUCAUUAUUCUCUCCCGCAAAUGAUGUAAAGCUUUUAAACUUGUUGUUUAUUAUAAUUCAUGUUUUAGUGUUGGUCCCAAAUUUUGUCUUGUCUUGUGGAGGCACUUUGUCACUGUGUUUUGAAAAGAGCUGUAUAAAUAAAACUCAUUAUUGCUAUUAUUGUUGUUGUUGUUUUUUGAUGACAUUUCUGUGCCUUACUAUACAACACAUUUUCUUGA